GGGGUUUUAGCUCAGUGGUAGAGUGCUUGUCUAGCAUACACGAGACCCUGGGUUCAAUCCCUAGUACCACA
rnacentral:tRNA from 1 species